AACCCAUGUUCAGAACAUUUCCGCAGGAGCUCCACGAACCUAUCCCAUGUCUCAAAUAGAGACUCCAAGUCCAUUUAUACAAAGGAGGAUAUCUUAUUCCUGAGCUU